rnacentral:lncRNA from 1 species
UCAGCCAACUUCCUUCCAAACCUCUUGAAAGCUUCUAAUGGCUGUGAAUCUGAAGUCCAAACCUCGCCUUCAUUUCUCUGUCCAAGGUAUUGCUCAUCAGAAGCAUGCCUUGAUAAGACCUCUAAGAUCGUAAGGUCAGUGAGGGUAUCAUUUUUUGGUGUGAUUGUCCUUAGAUACACCUUUUGAAAGUUCUUAGAAAGCUCGGCAUACUCAGCAGACCCUUUCUCAGGCAUGUGUCUCCGGCUUUUAGUUGGUCGGUUAAGUAUAUAUCCUCCAUAUGGAUAUUGACCAAAAUUAACAGCUGCAUGAUGUGCUGAAGCAAUCCAUAUGAGGAUAGUGCAAGCUUCAAUCAACUCUGUACAAGUUUGCAUCUUAAACCACCAUGUAGCAUUCUUCAAAUCACCAUGACCCACCUCUACAACUUCUCUCCAAAAUGCUUGCAGUUCAGAAUCUUGCGCAACAGCAGCAUCUGACGUGUAGUAGAAACUCACAUAUUCUUCAACCCAUGACUUGAUAGCAUCCCAUAUCUCUAGUCCAUCAGCAGCAUAAGGGUAGUCCUCUAUCAGAAGGCGAAUUCCAUGUGGGGAAGUUGGAUCCUCAACAGCCACUCCUCUAGAUAACAAGCAAGGAAGAUAUCAUUAAUAUAAAAAAUUAAAAAGCUUGAGAUCAGUAUCUAUUUAACCAAGAUUUUAAAUUGGUUGUAGUAUGAUCUUAGUUAUUCUAGCGAAACGCGGUAAAAUACAGUUGAUGUGGCCUCAACCAACGGUGUUUGGACAUAAAAAAACCUUGAUUUCUCGUCUUACAUUGUGGUUACUAACAUUUUUUCCAAUCCUUUUUUUUUACUAAUUAAUUUAUGUGCAGGAUCUAAUAUUUUGUAAGGUUACCUUUUCAGUAAAUCAUUAGGAAGACCGUGCUCUAUGAAAACCCAAUCCUUAUAUAAUAGAGCAGACAAUUCUAAAGAAUAACGUCCCAUCAAGAAUGUCGAUUCUAUAAUACCCUCUGCAUUAACCAAGACAUUCCUUGCAAGUGCAUUAAUGUUCAUUGUGUCACGAUAAUGUGGAAGUAGAAGUUUGUGAAUAGGGUGAACCACACUAAGAUGCCUAUUUGUUGCUAUGAUGAAUGGCUCAACAACAGCAUGAGUGUUCAACCUGUUACACAUGUAGAUAUUAAUGAAUUACUCAUAGAUUGAUGAAAUUAAAUACGUUUGAUUCUAGAAAAACUCAUCAACAUAAUUCGUACCAGUGGCUGACAAGUUGAUGAAAACAGGAGUCAUUUACAACAACGUAAGCUUUGGCAAGUAGCCAAAUAGAAGCUUCAACACCUUCACUUGCAGGCAAGUAAACAUUACUAACAGGACCAUAACUAUCUUCUUGAGGAUGUGGCUUACUUAGCUCAAUGGCCAAUGGCUUCAAAGUUCCAUCAUUUUGUAAGAAAAUGAAGGUUCUCGUAGCAUAUGCCUUUGUAUCAGUUGAGUUUAUUUUCCUCAAAUAUGGAAAUAUUGGGUCAUGGUGAUCAAGUAUGUAAAGCCUGUUGUUUUGGAUAGCCUAUUCAAAAAAAUAUAAUUUAGUCAUUGUAAUUAUUUGAAUCAUAAAUAACCACAAAAUAACAUUGGCAAAGAUGUAUAUUCAUGGUAUUAAUGUUAAACUAUGUCAUUACUUCUUCUACAGUGACCCCAUCCAUGUUUAGCUGUAACUGUUCUUCGGUUAUUGUGCUCGUAUUAUCACCGUAGAGUUGGGUAUCUAGCUUGCUCUUUGGUGGGAACUCCUACAAUAAAUAUAGAAAGUAAUAAUGAAGUUAACAAUUAAAAAUAGGAAAAUGUUAUUUCUAGCGAAGGAAAUAUGGCUGCUCCUAAUUCUUGAAGAUUUCGUGAUGCUAUCUUUCGGGAAAUAUGGUCAAAAUAAAAAUUAAAUUUUCUGUUCGCAAAGAAAUCGUUAAACUAUCAAGUUUACCUGAAGUCUUUUGAUUAUGUGUGGAUUCACACCAGCAAUCAUCUCCCUUGCAAAUUCUCCAUCAGUCAUCCAUGCAGACUGAUUAACUGCUCAAAAUAAGAGCAUUUCAAAUGAUCCGUGAUAUUUUUAUUUAUUCUAUGAAAAUAUAUUGCUAGGACUGAACAUGUGUUUCUAAUAGAUACCUUCAACCACUUUAGGUCGUGGAAACUUUAGGGCCGAUUCACCAUCAGUUCUGAGGAGUUCCUGGAACACUGGUAUGGGGCUAAUUUUGCUAAGUGCAUUAGUAGGUAAUUCAAUUCCACCAUGAUAUAAUGAACGGACAUCUUCAAAAGUGUUAAACUCUGGCUGAUUGAAUUGUAAUGUAAGUGCAGAUCGUAAUUGAGGUAUAACAUUUUGAGAUGCUGAUUUCAGUAUAUAAACAAGAAAGUCUGAAGACUUCAAGUGGCCAAAUGAUUCAUCUCUUGGAAUGUAAACAAAGUCGCUCCGACUCUCACUUUUAUCAUCUGUAACAUACAAAUAGAAGACAUUAGCAACAAGAUCAAUAUCUUUAAAAUCAUAUAGAGGAAAUGUUUUGAUCAUAGGACCUUUAACUUAAGAUAGAGCAUAAAGUUUAUCACCUUUUUUAGCAUGUUUCCUGCCGGUUCUCCCCCUUCGAGGGUAAGGCAAGUUAUUGGAUCCUCCAACAACGGGACGAGCCAAGCUUUCUUUCUUGUCAGGAUCACCCAAGUCAUUGUAAACAUCGUAGUCAUAGAUCCUAUCCGAUUCUUUGCGCUCACCCGUUCCAUCUCCUCUUAAAGUCUUCAAUUCUUCUUGUCUGUAGUAGACUAAUGGAGCUGGUGUUUCGCUUGGAAGGUACGUCUAUAUUUAUAUUUAUUUAUCGGUGUCAAAUUUUGAGAAAUAUAAUUUGUAUUAGCAUGUUAAAGAAAUAUGAUUUUUUUUCAUUACCUUGUUCGUAAAGAAGAUGCGUUUCGUUUUAUACUUUUUAGCAUUGUAAAUCCAUGAGUUGCAAACAAAGUUGAUGGUUCCAUGGAUGGGAAUAUCUUCAAGCGUCAAACUUACAAGGAAGAAUUCUCCUAGCAUGAAAUUUUCAAUAUAAAAUGCUCCUGGAAUUCCCAUCUCACUGUCCCAUUCAAAAUGAACAUCAAAUGCAGAUUGCCCUGCUCCCAAAAUUGGUAUGGAGGUAACAAGACCUUCUAAAUAUGUUUUUUUUCCCACUUUACCUUUUCCACUUCCUACAAAUAUGUCAUAAUGCUUAAUUUAUGUCAAUAUAAACAACUUAAUCUUUUCUUAUGCUAAGUGCUAAAUUUAUGUUCACCCAAGUUGCUUAGAUUAUAUCAAAGUGAAAUAAUUCCUAAUUUCCUACAUAUAUUUUAGUAAUAGUUGAUUUAUUAUUUAAAAUAAGUUACGUCAAAGUGAUAAUCACAAAAAUAAAAAUAAAAAUUUAUAAUAAAACAAAAGGGAAAAUAAAUUGAAUCUUAAUGGACUCAGGAUCAAAUUCUUGUAAAAAUUAAAAUAUAAAGACAAUUUUCAUUUGGAUCCUUUGUAAAGCCAUUCAUUUAAAAACGAUAAACUUUGAAACUUAUAUCACCUGCAGAUUUAAAAAAUGGUGAGGCCUAGGUUGCCUUUGAAAACUCAUGGGCAAUUUACCUAAACCAAUCAAAAGUUUUCAUGUGUACUCCAUUAGAAUAAUAACAUUUAUUAUUUUAUUUUGCAAAAAUUUAGCAAGUAUUUUAUUAUUUGCAUAUUCACCCCAUCUUAAAUUAAUGAUUUUUUACAAUUUAAACCAUCACAAUAAUUAAAUUUCACCUCUAAUUCAAUCACUCUCCAAACCUCUUUUUUAGCUUGGCAAAAAUCAUUAAAAAUUAAAAUUAUCACCCCUGAGAAUCAAACCUGGAUGCUCCCACCUAUUUAAAAUGUACUCUGGAACCACUUGAUCAAUACAUUUUUUAUGAAAUAAUUUGGAAUUCAAAAUUAUGUUAUUAGUGAGCAAAUUAUUUUAUUUUUAUUUGCAGUGCCUUUAUAACCUAGCUUUAGUGAGAAAAAAAAAUCAUUUUAUGUGUGUAUAAUUAUGAAGUAGUAAAUUUUUCUUAAGAAAAAUGAAUUCAUUCAAUUGAUUUUUUAUAUUUUAAAUUUCAUUCUUUUUUAUAAAUUCAUACUUUUAUAUAGAUUCGAUGACCUACGACAAUGUUUCAUUUGUGAUCCACCGAAUUAUGAUUUAUUUUAGGUACUAUUUUUCAUUUGGAUCAGAUAAAUUGUUUAAAGGUAAUAAUUUUUUUUUUUGCAAGGUCUUAUAAGUUAUAACCUAGCUUUAGUAAAAAAAAUCAUUUUAUAUGUGUAUAUUUAUGAAAUAGUAAAUCUUUCUUAAAAAAAAUAAUUCAUUCAAUUGAUUUUUUAUAUUUUAAAUAUCAUUCUUUUAUAUAAAUUUAUAAUUUUAUAUAGAUUCGAUGAACUACAACAUUGUUUCAUUUGUGAUCAAACGAAUUAUGAUUUAUUUUAGGUACUAUCUUUCAUUUUGAUCAGAUAAAUUGUUCAAAGGUAUUAUUAUUAUUAUUUUUUUUGCAGUGUCUUAUAAGUUAUAACCCAGCUUUAGUAUAAAAAAAAUAAAUCAUUUUAUAUGUGUAUAUUUAUGAAAUAGUAAAUAUUUCUUAAAAAAAAAAAAAUGAAUUCAUUCAAUUGAUUUUUUUUAUAUUUUAAAUAUCAUCCUUUUAUAUAAAUUCAUACUUUUAUAUAGAUUCGAUGACUGAUGGGAUAAAACCGCAAGUGCACGAUUCUACCAGAAUUCAGGGCAUUACAAACGCAACAUGUGGCAUAAAAACAUUACUUUAUAUGUAUAUACUAUUGAUUUUCCUGUUCAUUUAAAAUAUUUUAUUUGCUUAAUUGCACUUUUGGACCCCUAUCUUUUCAAAAGUUGCGGUUAUGGAUCCCUAACUAAUUUAAAUACAAAACAGUCCCCUAUGUUUUGAUUCUUUAGCAGUUUUGGACCCCCAAGGCAAAAAAAAAAAAAUUUGACAAGUGGCACCUCACUUAGGGUGCCACGUCAGCGUUGACCGAGUCAACAAUGAAUUGGGGUCCAAAAUUGGCAAAAAAUCAGAACAUAGGGGGCUGUUUUGUAUUUAAAUUAGUUAGGGGUCCAUAAUCGCAACUUUUGAAAAGAUAGGGGUCCAAAAGUGCAAUUAAGCCUAUUUUAUUUACUAUUUUAUCCUUUAAUAAUAUUAUAUUAAAUUUGAAUUAGAAAAAUGAAAUCUCAUUAAAAUAGGAAAUAUACCACUACAACAGGAACAAUACUAUAUAUACUUUUUUUUUUUUUUUUUACAAAAUACUAUAUAUACUAUAUAUGAAGGGAAUAGAGACUUUGGGCUGAAUUUUUUAUAAUUUCAAUUAUACCCUUUAAACAAAUUUUCCUAUAUUAAUGUUCCAUUCUUGGUGGUAUUAAAAAAAGAUAAGAAUUUAUAUUAUAUUUGUUAAACUACUGUGUUGUUGUGGUAAAAGAUAAACAUGAUUUUUUUGGGUUUGUUACAAUUUUAAUUUCACAAAUAUUUGUACUUAUAAUUUUAAUCAAAAUCAAAAUUUCAUAUAAAAUACCGUUCAUAAUUUACACAUGUCACGUGCCCGUUUUUUCGCUAGUUAUAUAUAGUAUUUAUACUAUAUAUAAAGAAAACUAUCUCUUUCAGCACUUUUGGACAGGAUUUUUCUUUCCAAAAAUACCCUUAAUUUUUAAUACAAACAACACAUGUAACAAAUAAAUAAGAAUAAAUUUAAAUAUUAAAACAAAUGUAACAAACACGAUAUGUGUGUUUGGUUUUUUUCCUUUAUCAUUUAAAAAGUGUAACAAACUAUAUGAGUAUAUUUAAUAUUUGCUUUUUUUAUUAUCCCAAUUAUACCAUUAAAACAAAAUCCAUAAUCAUCAAUCAACAACAAGAAGAUCCAACAUUUUAAAAAAUAAAUAGAUAAAUUUAAAGGAAUUUUUUUAAGAUUCUUAUGUUGUUACAUAAUAUUUGGACAAGAUUCUAAUUCUCAUUAAUCUUUUCUCCCACGUCAAGAAUAUCUCUUUGCUUCUUCUGAUUCAUAUUCAUUCAUUCCUUAUUAUUCUAAUUUUUAACUCAAUUCAUCUUCCUAUAGAUUUGCAUCGUUUUUGCUGAACCAAGAAGGACUGUUAAGUAGAAGAAUUCCAGAAUCAUAGAUGUAAUCACAAUAGUUCUCAAUGACAAUGCUUAAAAAAAAUUGAUUUUUUUCCCAAUCUAUCUCUCUCAAUCCCGAUCUACUCUCUAUCCCCUUAAACCCUUUUUUCCUAAACUAUUCCUUACCUCUCAUGCUCUCUCUUCUCCAUCGGAUACCAUUUCCCCUUCUAUCAUCUUCAUUGCAUUCUCCUCUUUCUCUUUCAUUUUUGACUUCUCAAUAAAAAAUCAAUCGCAGCUUCAAUUUUUUAUUGUCGAAUUCGAAUUCGAAUUUGGGGUGCGUGGGUUCGAUUGAGAGAGAUAGGGAUCGAGAUGAUGGAUAUAUAGACAACGGUGUUGAUGGUGGUUUUGAAAAAGAGGUUUUGAUGGUGGUUAUCUGGAUUUUCUCUGGAUUUUUUUUUAUGAAGGUGAUGAAUGAGGGAAAGAAAGAAGAUGAAGUAUGGGAUAUAAUGCUAGAUGUUGUUGGUUCACAGUAAGAUACAGUGGACAUGCAUGAUCUAACAAUCUUUCUUUAUUAAAAAAGAUCAAACGGUUUAUAUUAAAAAAAAUAAUAGGAUCUAUAGUGGACCAGGGGGUUCACCAUAGAUAUUUGAGGUUAAAGUUAAUUUAUUUGCAAACUGUGGGAAAAGUGAAGGACUAAAACGUGAGUUUUAUUAAUUGUGAGACCAAAAUAAAACCAAAGAAUUAAAUAAGCCUUUUUUUUUACUAAAGCUAAGUUAUAACUUAUAAGACAUUGCAAAAAAAAAAAAUUAAUACCUUUAAACAAUUUAUCUGAUCCAAAUGAAAAAUAUUAUCUAAAAUAAAUCAUAAUUUGGUUGAUCACAAAUGAAACAUUGUUGUAGUUCAUCGAAUCUAUAUAAAAGUAUGAAUUUAUAUAAAAGAAAGAUAUUUACAAUAUAAAAAAUCAAUUGAAUGAAUUUAUUAUUAUUUUUUAAGAAAGAUUUACUAUUUCAUAAAUAUACACACAUAAAAUGAUUAUUAUUAUUUUUACUAAAGUUAAAUUAUAAGUCACUGCAAAAAAAAAAAUAAAAAAAAUUGCUCACUAAUAACAUAUUUUUGCAUUCCAAUUUAAUUCAUAAAAAAUGUAUUGGUCAAGUGGUUUGGGAAAACAUUUCAAAUAAGUGGGUGCAUUUAAGUUCGAUUCCCACGAGUGAUAAUUUUAAUUUUUAAUGAUUUUUGCCAAAUUGUUCAACUAAAUUUGAAUGAAUGCAUGAUCUUUGGCAUUAAAUUCCAAAUUUGAUAAAAAAAAAAGAGAGUGAUUGGAUUAGAGGAGAAAUUUAAUUAUUGUGAUGGUUUAAAUUGUAAAAAAUCAUUAAUUUAAGAUGGGGUGAAUAUGCAAAUAAUAAAAUACAUGCUAAAUUUGUGCAAAAUAAAAUAAUAAAUAUUAUUAUUCUAAUGGAGUACAAAUGGAAAAUUUUGAUUGGUUUGGGUAAAUUGUCCAUGAGUUUUUAAAGGUAAUUUAGAAAAAACCUUAAAAAAUUGGUCUGUUACUUGUUUAGCGUACAAUUUAGCGACCGAUUUCAAAGUUUGGUAAAAUGCAAAGUUCACUAAAAUUGUGAAAAUGCUACCACGUUUUUUUCCCCCUCAUCUCAAUUAUCUACUGAUGUGAAAUGUUAUAUGUUAUUAGGAAUUCUCUCAGGUACUUAUGGGUCUGUUUGGUUAACCCCAAAAAAGAGCUUUUAGCUUCUAGCUUAUAGCUUAUAAGCUCGUUUGAUAAAAAAAACUCUGUUUGGUAACACUUUUUUACCAUGAGCUUAUAGCUUAUUUCACGAGCUUAUAAGCUAUUUUUCAGAAGCUAUUCCAAGUAGCGUUUGAGCUUAUAGCUUAUAGCUUCUCACUUUUUCUUCCAAUUUUACCCUUAUUAUUUCAUUUAAAUUGUAUUUUUAUCCAUUAUAAUUUUUAUAAUAAGCUACGUAAUAAAGACUACUAUCCCUUUAUUCCAAUUUUUGUAUAUAUAUCAGCUGGCCUUUUUUUUUUUUUUUGAAAAAAUAUAUACCUUCGUUUUUUUUUUACGAAACAAAAUAUUAUUAUUCUAUUAGUGUUACUUUUUUUUUUUUUUUGAGAUAAGUGUUAUUUUCUUUAUUCUCUGUUAUUAUUAUUACUCUAUUAGUGCUACUUUUUUUUUUUGUUUUUGAGGUAAAUGUUAUUUUUUUUAUAAAGUGGAAACACUUAAAUGAUAAUAAAUAUAAGAUAAAAUUUUAGUGAAUAAAAUUUAAUUUAAUUUAUAAUACAUAGGAUAUAUUAAAUUAAUAAAUUUAAAGUAUUUUUUUAAAGAAAAAUUAGUUUACAAAAUUACAAAUACUUAAAUUAAUGAUAUAAUUUUUAUUAUGAAUUAAGAAUACCCUUUAUGUCAUUUUACAUUUAUCAGCUAGUUGAACCGCUAUUUUUACCAAACACUUCAGUUAGCUUAUCAGCUAUAAGCUAUCAGCUAGCUUAUCAGCUAAAAGCUAUCAGCUAACUUAUCAAUUAUCCGCUAUUUUUACUAAACAGAGCCUAUGUCCACCGAUGUGAAAGGCAAACCAAAGUUUACUAAAAUUUCAAAAUUGUCACUGUGUGCAUCUUUCCCAUUAGGUAUUUUCUGUGCCGAUGUGAAAACCCCUGUUGUAAGAUGUAUAUUUUCUAGUAGUGGUUAUGCCAGCUUGUAGCCUUAGAUCUCUCCAAGGAAGAAAAAAGCUACUAAAAAAACUUGAAUUAGUAAGAAGAACUUUAGAGGAAAAAAAUCUCCCUAAAUUUAGUGACCAAAGUAUAGGGAAAAAAAAUAUUUUUCCAUCACUAAUUUUCGUCCCAAUUUUAUUUGUUUUAUUUUUAUAGUGAAAAUUCUACCUCAUAUAUUAACAAAAGAAUAAAGUUUAAAGGAUCAUCAAAUCAUCAGCACAUUAUAUCUUCACCUAAAAUCAUAAGACACUUACUAUAUGAAUCACUUUUUAUAUGGCAUUUGUUAAGAUAGACUCAUUUAAUUUUUAGAAGUACUACUUUAACAAGUUAAAACUAAAAUAAUAUAUAAAACAAGGGUUUAAGUUAGCAACUUUUGCAGGCAUUUGUUAGAAUAUAUUCACUCAUUUUUUUAAGGGACAUCCACUCAUUUUUUUUUUAGAAGGACUAUAUGUUAGAAGUGAUAAUGAAAAAUUUGUUAAUUAUACACACAGUAAGGUGCAUGUUGCUAAAAUACUCCAAAAAGCUUCCCCCAAACACAUAUUUCAAGGUGCAAAGUUCAAAUUCUUUUAGGAGAGUUGUAAAAUGAUCAUUAGUGUCGAGUAGUAGUAUGAAAGAUUAAGAAGUAAUUACCAUCAACAUUGGUAGCACUAAUCAACCUGAGAGCCACUGAACGGCCAAAGGAGGAAGUGUAGGUAUCAAUUAUAGAGCUAGUGAUAUCACCAACAACAUUGAAUCCACCUUUGAUUAAACCAGUGGCACUUUGAGCUGCAGUGAUUUCGUUGAUAUCCAAUACAUUCUUAUGCAUCAAUAUCACUGUCCCCUUCACCUUUUGGCCUCUGUUAAAGAUACUUUUCACCCCUGAAUACAUCUUAGUAAUUUACUGCUUUUAAUUUUGUAUUCUUUUGCAAAUUAAUGAAAGAAAAGUUUGUGGUUUGCAUGUUGCAACCAUCUCAUUAUUUAUAGGGCCAAAUUAAUGUUCUGAUUCAAAACUAUAUUAUUUUUUUAGAGACUGAUUCAAAUCAUAUGAGUCAAUGUUCUUUCCAUAUUUUAUCCUCAUCCAAAAUAAUUGAUCUACUUGUAAAAAAAAAACAUUUACCAAAAUAAUUUAUCUUUUUCAAUUUGCAUGCAACAUUAACGACUUCUUUUCUACUGUACAAUGGAAUUAAUAUCAUCAAUUUCAACUCAAUAUCUUCAAUUUUUUAUAUAUAUGGUAAAAGUUAAUACAUGAUAAAAGUACUUCAUUAAAAGCAAUCUUCUCUUUACUUUUAACAUAGGUGCAGUUUUUUUUUUUGAAUGAACAUAGGUGCAGUGUUAAAAAAAAAUGGAGUAUUCCUUAAACGAAUUAGUUGUCUUUUUUUAUGUGACUAAAAUGAAGUCGUCUUUGUUUAAACAUACUCUUCUCACAGAAGAUAACCAUGGUUCAGUGCAAUAAUAAUAAUAAUAAUAAUAAUAUUAGCAAGAGGACGUUGAGGACUAUAAUUUGAGAGGUAGGUAGGCGAAUUUACCGGGGCAAUAAUGCAAUGAGAAGAGCACCCAAUUGCAGUGCUUGGCCCCAAAGAUGUUCAAAACUAGACUAUUAGUGUGUGAAGAGAAAAACAAAAGAAGAAAAACAUGAUUUCUCAGUAUGUCCAGUUAUAUUCAAAUUUGUUAUAAUACAAUGUCAAUUGUUGAUUGAAACUAGAGAUUAGUUCAGGUAGCAGAUGAUGUCCUCGAUUAUGAUUCUCUUUCUUUGCACGAUUGACGUUGAGGAAAGAAUUUUCUCCCUCAGCUACGGGUUCCUGAAAUUAUUUAGUAAAAUGUUAAAUAGAGUUGUGUUUUUGGCCAAGAAGUGUAUGUAAACUAAGAUAAAGAGAUAAUGAUAAAUGGAUAAAUUAGCGAAAAAAAUAGCUUGUGUUUGAUUGUGUGUUGACUGUUAACUCGGUCUAAAGUCUUCAAGGUUGAUGUACUAGCCAAUAGACUCGAGAAAGAAUCGACCAACCCUCUUUCGGCUAAAAUAACACUUGCAUAACCUUCUAUCGGCUCGGAAAAUUCUCCCAACCAAAUGUCAUUUUGUGUUGCGUUAUCACUUGAAUUUCGAGUGAUGAGAUGACGCAACGUAAUUGAAAUGGUUACGAACAAUAUCAUCAUUACGUCAUAAAAGUAGAAAAGUAGUCGUUGGGAUGAAUCAAUUUGAGAUCUUUUGUGUAAAAGUAUUUCAUUACUCUCAUUUUUUUUUGGGUAUAAUUACUCUCAUUUUAACGUCUUCUACUUAUAUAUAUGAUUAAAUUUUGAUACAUUAAUAUGAGAAGAGUACUUUAUUAAAAAUAAUUUUAUCUCUCUUUCAUUUAUACAUUGUUCUUCAUCCAUGUGAAUUAGUUAACUAAAUCGGUUAUUUAUGAGGGAGAGAGUAUUUUUCUUUUGAACUAUAAUAUUUAUUUUGUGUAAACCUUCUGAUUUUGGGAAAAUAAACCGCUUUUUUUUUUUUAAAUAAAACUCUAAACUCCAGUUUUCAGUACGUAGGUAAGUUUGAAAUCAUCAAUUGAUCAUUGACAUGCAAAAACUAUUAGCAUGAGGCUAAGCGUGGCAGAUAAAAUAACAAUGAAUUUGUUUAAAAAACAGUAAUAAAGUACUGAAGGUAAAAUACUUUAUCAUAAAAAAAUAUAAUAAUAAUAUAUGUUGAUUGAUCAUAUUUUGACAAAUAGAUCUAUUGAGCUAUUGUUAAUUACAUUCUUACGUGUAUACAAAUAAAAAUAUUCCCUGUACGAGGUUGUCUUUUUUGUUUUUGAUUUUGAUGGUACGAGGUCGUCUUUCUUUCUUUUGUUUAAACAUACUACUUUUCUCACAUAAGGUAACCAUGGUUCAAUGUAAUAAUAUCAAUAAUUGUACAAGAGUUAAUUUAACCGUGCGAUUAUUGCACAUUACGAUGCUCUCCAUUUUCAAUUGUCACUAUUUACUUGUUAACAAAAUUAAAAAUAGUAGAAGUAGGACUAUACUAGAUUCAAUAAUAUUUUAACUUUUAAAAAAUUAAAUUCAUUAGUUUUGACCGUUUCCUAAUACAAUAUAUUGAUAAAUCCUUAAUCAAUGUCUUAAAUACACUUUUUAGUAUUUUUCUUAAAUUAAAUAGUAGGUCAUAUCAGAUUUUUAAAAUGUCACAUUCAAACCUAAAUAAUAAACCUACGACACGCCACAUGCUAGACAUUGAUCUUAAAAAUUUUGGUAGAUUAGACUUAGAUUUUGCAAAAUUUAGUUCGGCCUAACCUAUUAUAUUUUGAAGAUUGCUCUAAUCCAUGUCCUAAUUAUUCAUCCCAUUAAUUCAGCUGUUCAAUAUUUUUCAACGGCAAUUACUGCUACGGGCAUUUUUAAGACCAGUUCAUUUACUUUUUAAAUUGUUUUAAUAGCAAUUUUCAUUAUUAUAUGUACCCCAUAUACGCUUCCCAUGACGUCCAACGCUGACAGCAGCAUGCAAGUGCACUUCACGUGAUCUUGUUCCUUAUUGCAUAGUUAGUUUUUUAUUUUCUAAUUUUACUAUACCGAACUCUAACAUUUUCACACUCAAAGUUCUUGCCCUGUCUCCCGUUUUUUUCUUUUCUUUUUUUAACAAAAACAACUUAUAUAUUUUCAUUCAUCAAAUCAAAUUGAAAGUAAUACAAGAUGGAAUUAAAUAAAAGAUAUGAUGCCGAAUAUACAUAGAUGUGAUAUAAGAUAGAAUAACGAGCAUAUAAUUAUAACACUUAAUAAUAUAUGAGUGACAUAAUUUGUUUGUGUUCAAGCUAAACUCAUCUUAAAGUUUUGAAACUGUUCUACUAAUAAUUUAACUGUGCGAUUGCGCAUUACGAUGCCCUCCAUUUUCAAUUGUGACUAUUUCCUUCAUCGCUCAUAUGAAUUAGCUGUUAAAAGGUAGGUCGUAUCAGACUUUCAAAAUGUCAUAUUUAAACCUAAAAAAUAAAUUUAUGAUAGACCGCAUGCUAGAUACAGGCCUUAAAUUUUUUAACAGAUUAUCCUUAAGUCUUGCAAAAUUUAGUUCGACCUGCCUAUUUCAAAAAUUGCUCAAAUCUAUUUCAUAAUUGUUCAUUCGCUUAAUUCAUUGGAAGUUAACUGUUGCUCGAUAUUUUUCAGCGGCAGUUCAGAUCGGUUUAUUCAUUUUUUAAGUUGAUGUAAAUAGAAAUAUGUACCCCAUAUUCGCUUCCCAUGACGUCCAAUGCUGAUAGAAGCAGCAUGCAAGUGCAAGUGUAUUAUAUUACCGUAUAGUCGCUUGAAAUGAAACCACACACUUCACGUGAUCUUAUUCUUUAUUGCAUUCGUUUUUUCUUCACUAAUUUUACUAUCCCAAAACUCUAACCUUUUCACACUCAAAGUUCUUGCCCUCUCUCCCUCUUUUUUGUUUGACCAAAAGCAACUUAUAUUUUUUCAUUCAUCAAAUCAAAUUGAAAGUAAUAUAAGAUAAAAUUAAAUAAAAGAUAUGAUAACAAGCAUACGAUUUUAACACCCUUAAUAAUAUAUGAGUGACAUAAUUUGUUUGUGUUCUUGCCAAAUUUAUCUUAAAGUUUGGAAAUUGUUCUACUUAUAUCUACAAUUGGACAAAAUACCGUCAAACUUCGAUUGAUUGCUAGAAUUAUCCAUGAUGUCUUCUGCCACUAACUUACAAUCUAGUUCAAUUUUCACGGUUGAUAAUCCUAAUUCUCGAACAUUCAUAGUGAUAUGUCCGGUGAAGAUGAGAUAAAUAUGGGGGUGGUUCUCUCCGGGAACUGCAUUUGUUCUCCGGAAAUUUUUCUUUAAGUUGUAAAUAGAUCAUUUAAGUUGUAUAUUUAUCGCACUCUUAUCCUUUUAAAGAUUUGUUUGAAACUUAAAAACUUAAAAAACUUCAUAUAGGUGUAUUAAAUUAACAAUUUAAAAGAUCUAUUUGAAUUUUUUAAAAAAAAAAAAACAAAAAAACUUAAAGGACAUAUUUAAACCUUAAAAAACUUAACUGAUCAACCUAAUAUUUUUGUCAAACUCAUAAAAAAGCGUUCAUGGCAUACGGUGUUUUCCUUCCAUAAAAAUAAAAAAUAAAAAAUAUCUGAAUGUAUUUUUGUUUUACAAAACUCACAUGGCAUGUUGUAGGAGAUUUGAGAUGUGUGUGGGGGUGGGUGUAAAAUUCCAUAAACCUGAUAAAUCAAAAUUGUUAAAAGUGAGAGUAAAUUGGAAUGGAAAAUUUAAAAAUUGUGGAAGUGGGGAACCACGUAAAAAUAAACUUUUCCAACUUAAACCAUAUGAUAAUUUCUUAAUCUGUCCUCUCAUGUUAUCAGCAGUACGCUUUUAAUAGUGUUUUAUAUUUGAAAUAUACUGCCAGAAAUACAUUUAUGAUAAUAUAAAUUGAUAGAUUUAAGCAAUAUAAGAAGAUUCAUAAAUUAUCAAAACAUGCGCAAUGCUAAAGCCCACAACAUGCAGAUGCACAAAGGAGGAUUCGAUUUGUAGUGCAAAGUUGUUGGGGCAAUGAAAAUCGGAUUUAAUUUGUAUGUAUAGAUAGUAUAAAACUUGUUUACACAUGUAUCAAAUCAAAUUACGCCAUUAAAAUAUUUAUGGAGAUAUUUAAACAAUUCACUUAUAAAAACGACACUUUAUUCUAAUUUGAUUGGAUGGAUAUAUAAAAAGAAAUUACACUACUUGUUCAGAAAAAAAAAAAGAAAUUACACUAUCGGUGCAUAGAAAUGACACUCAUGAAAAUUACCCUUCCUACCAAACAGUAUAUAAAGUCUCUAUAUUAUUGCCAACAACCAUAAAUUAUUGAGGAGGUAGAGGUUAGCCAUUUUAGCACGUUUGUGUUAUUGAGAUAACAAAAUUGAAAAAAGUCAAAAAUUGAGUUAUUUAAAAUGUAGUAGAUUUUGAAAGAAAGAAAAAAAGUUCCAAUGAACUCAAAUUUUUGAGUUUUUGAGAUAACCAAUUAAAAUUGUUCUUGGGACGUAAAACACGCUGAGUAUUAGGGGUGUUCAAAUCCAUACCAAUCCAAAAUAAAACCGCAAACUGAUCCAAAAAAACCGAAAACCGCAAAAAACCAAAUAUUUUUGGAUGUGUUUGGAUGUUGUUUUGGAAAAACCGCUAUGAUCGGAUCGGAUUUCGGAUUGCGUUUUCAAAACCAAACCGAACCGCAAAAGUAAAUUUUUAUACUUAUUUAUUAUUUUAUUAGUAUUAUAUAUUGCACUAAUAUAUUGCUUAUUGAUAUUUAAUCUUAUAUAUUGCAUUAAUUUAAUCUAUAUUAUUACUACUUCAUCUAUUUCAAAUAUAAUCAAUCAUUUUUAUUGUGUAAUGUUAACUUUUUAAAUAAAUUUGUGUCAUAUUUUGUAUCAAACCUAUUAUUUUAUUGUGUAUGAGUAAUAUUAAUAUUUAAAAAAAAAAUUACAUGUUACACUUUGGAUAUCCAAAAACCGAUCCAAAUUAAACCGCAUAUAUUUGGAUCGGAUCGGUUCGGAUUUUUUUAACAUAAUCAUCCAAACCGAACCGAACCGCACGUGAUUUUUAUUUUGGAUCGGUUGAUUUUUAACCUCAAAACCGAUCCAAACCGGACCGCGAACACCCCUACUGAGUAUGUAAGCUUAAUAUUGUUUUUCUUUUACAAAAAGUAAAUUUAAGGGGGUGUUUCUAUCAAGUAUAAUAUUUACAUUUAUGGGAAUACAUAGGUACGGAAUGAGUAUAUCCAUAUUUUUUAUAAGAUUGAGAAAUCAUUAUUCUUAGGUAUCUAAGGUUCUUAGGAAUGAAAUAACUUUUCUUAACUUUAAACAAUCUUACGAAAUUAUUCCCAAGGUAAAGGAUGGAAAAGUAGGUUCCCAUCAAAUUUUGUACACUUUUUUUCUAAAAGAAUAUAACUUGCAAUUCCCCUAGGAGUGUUCAAGAGUGUGCCAAACAUUUUUUUUUUUUUUUAAAUACCCAUGAAUAGAACUCCCGUCAUGAUAUCUUUAACUGUGAUUCCCUUUCUUCAAGCGAUUAAUGGUGAGGAUGGAACUUUGUUUUUAGGUUUUUUUUGCUACUAGACUAGUUGGAAAUGCAUGUAAAAUAACAACGGCAGAAAAAUAAAAGUGAUAAAAUAGGGAAAAUAGUUUGUGAUUGAUUGAUUAUGUGUUAAAUACAUUGUAUAGAGUAUGUACUUAUAGGCAAAACUAUUUCUACUGGCCACAAGAUAUUACCUACAGUGUUUAACCUUGUUCGACUAUUUUCACGAGUAAGCAUCAGCUUUCCCACGCUCGACUGUCAGCUUCCCAAUUAAUGGCAUGACAUGUUGACAAGGUCCAUAAUGUUUAGUACCUCAUUGUCCAGAUCUGCUUGAGCUUUGACUCAAUAUGAUGUCUUCAAGACAAUCGACCUACCCUUGUUUGGCUAGAAUAACACUUGCAUAGAUUUCCAUCGCUUGUCUAUUGAUUUCAGCUAACAUGACAUAUAUAAUUACUUUUAGGUGUAAACAUAUGCUUCCUUGCGUUGCAUUUUCGAUUGGCUUCCAAGUGAUUGGGAUGAUGCAACAUAAUCGAACUGAUUGCGCGUGAACAAUGCGAUCUUUUAUGAAUGGAUAUGAACUAAUAACCCUGUCAAUCCAAUAACUCCAACGGUUACCGCAGUUUUCUCAAUUGGUAUGGUGAUAUCUUCGCCUAUUUGAAAGACGAUCUUUACGUAUAAAUAACUUUUUAUAGACCUGGAUUAUUCCCCAACUUUUCACCCUUUGUCGUUCUUUUUAUGUGGCUUCCUAUCCACUAAAUAAUUCAUGACUAUUACUUUUUCUACCCUGCUGCCUUCUCGCGCGCCCUGCAAAAUUUACUAAAAUACCCCUGGUCCGGAUUACAUAAUCCGGAGCAAAUUGUUAGUGAUAUCCGAAAAACGAAAUUCGGACCAGAUGUUAUGCGUUUUUUUGUGUCUUUCUUUGAUGUCAAGGGUUUCUGUUGACCGUUAUAUGAACCCCACACAAGUUGCAAUGUUAUUCCAGGGUUCAUACGAACAGUCAAUAAUGACCAUGACACCACUAACACCCCAAAAAAACUAAAAACAUUUGAAGAAAAUGGAAGAAAAGAGGUGAAAUGAAGAAUGAAGGUAUUUGUUGAAGAUGGAAGCAUGUUUAUAGCCUAAAACAAGUCCUAGGUCAUUAGUACAGUAAAUGAAAACGUGUUAGUGGUUGUAACCGUCCAAACCCACAUUAAUGGCUCUCUUUCAAAAGAAUCCAAUGCUGAAGCUUUCAAGAUUUUACAUUCCGGAAUAACCUUAGCCCUACAGAAAGUGCCAACUUUUCCCUUGUUCACCAUUAUCGCAUUAAUCCGGAAAAUAUAUUCCGGAAAACAAAGGUGCAUUUCAGAUUUUAUUUUCUGGAAUGCAACAAUGUCAUGGCCAGUGGUCUGCACCACACAUUUUUGUCGAUGGUCAGGUAAUAAAAAACGUGUUUUAUCACGUUUUUUGACUGCAUUUAUGGUCUCCCAACCGUUUUUGCCCCUCCCUAUAAAUAACCUUCCAAACCCCACAAUUUCUCACACCAUCCUCUCUCACCCUCUCCUCCUCUUCUUCCUUCUAAAACCAUCGUUUUUCAUCGUUGGCCUUUCAUAGAUAAGGGUCUCGUUGAAAACUUUCAAGGUUUGUAUGAACGGUCAAUGUGGAUGGAACAGUGCUGCAACGAAGUGCGGUUCAUCUGAGGGUCAUGUGGGUCAGUGUGGUUCUUAGCUUGGCCUAUCUGGGCGUAAGUUUCAGCACCCCCACCUCCCUCAGGGACAUUGUUUUCUUCUUCCUGCCUUCCUCUUCCCUCCUCCUCCUCCGGUUUUCCUCCAUUAGGGAACCUACUGCUAUGUCCUAUCGCAUAGUAGUGAUUAGGAUCUUAGGAGAUUAGAAUUAGGCUCUUAGGAUAUUAGAAAUAGAUUUAGGAUCUUAUAUAAUAAGCUUAAAAAGCUUGAAAAUUAUUGUAAUGUAUAGUUCAUAUAUUAAUAAAAUGAGUUAUUUUUAUGUUUGUGUCCUUUUAUUUCUGUUUUUUAUUUUAUUUUACGAAUUGUAAAGCUUAAAAUUGCAAAAGUUAUGGUAAAAUAUUAUUCCGGAUUUUCAAAUCCGAUUUAAAAAUACAUUCCGGAAAACGAAAUUCGGACCAAGGGUAAAAUUGAAAAAAAAAAAAAAAAAGGGUGUGCAAGGAAAGAUAUAGGGUGGAAUAGGUAAAACUCACAAUUCAUUUUGGUGCGUCCUUCAACCCUCAAACCCAAUAGUCAGAGAGCUUUGCCAAUGAUUAUUCUCUAGUUUUACACCCGAUAAUUUUCUUAAUCUUGUCAUUUUCAAGAUAAAAGACCACUAAUUCAGAAAACGAGAAUGAGAAGGGAAGUGGCAAACGAACUUUGACUCGUAAAGGCAAAUUAAAGCAUGACAAUGUCUAGAUAGGGGAAACUUAAAUUCCUAACAUUUCAUGGGAAGGUAAUAAUUGUCUCAAUCGAUUUCCAGAACUAACACUUCCUUCAUUUACUAAGUAAUUUCUUAUCCUUGUUUUUAAGAGUCUUUGUGCAAUUUUAUUUAAGGAUUUUUAGAAAAUUCUAAGGAGGUGCUGAUAGUUUAGUGAAGAGUCUAUGAUGUUUAGAGAAACCAUUUUAAGUCUUGUAUUUUCCUACCUAGACAACUCUAUAAAUGUCAUAAGUCUUUUUGUUAUAGACGCUAUGAGUUGAUUUUAUCACUAUGACUAGAAAAACUCAUUGGAUUAGUAUUGAAUGAUCAACUUCAAUGAUGUUGUUUGAACUAUAUGUAAUCGAUGAUGUCCUCUAUUAAUGCAAUCUGAAAUAUGCUUAUAAGGUAUACCUUGUGCUUAAUGAUUUUCAAUGCCUGAUAAACUCUGAAUUGAUUUUAAUUUAUAGUUCACAAUCAACACUUGUUUUUGUAACACGAACUAGGUAGUGUUCUUUAAUCAAUUUAUCUAGACAUAAGGUAUUAAUUAGUAUGGUCGGUAGUUUAACUGUCAAUGAAUCUUUUGAUAAAAUUAGUUUCACCUAAGAAAUUAGGGUUCUAUUUUAGAUAAAUGGGACGUCGAGGCAAGAAAUUGGUCGUGGUCUAUUUCUUUAAACUGUUGUGAACAUAGAAAUCAAAUUGUUAUUGUCUAGGAACUAGUAUUAUCAAAGAAAAUCUUUCUAUAAUUUAAUUUGCGAAACCAAAUCUUACGAAAACUCCCCCCAAUUUAACUUUUUAAUAAGUAUUGUUUAAUUGUCAAGUAUAAACAAUAAUAUUUGUGGAGAGGGAUCUUUAUAAACACUAUUACUUGAUCUGCCAAAGAGUCCAUCAAGCUUUUGGCGCCAUUGUUAGGGAAUCGUUGAUGAUCUCAACAAGGUAGCUACGCUCUACUUACAUGAUUUGUUUUUUUUUGUAAUUUAUUAUAAAAACAUAAAAAUAUUUACUUUUGGCUCUUUAAUCUUAGUGUGUGUUGUGCUAAAUAAAUAUUCUUGAGUGUUGUUAUGCGAGGUGGAAGCUCAGGUACCUUGUUAUUUGAUUCUGAGGUUGAGAAGAUUACAAGAGAAAACCAGAAAGAUUCUUUUUCUAUCUCAGUACCCCUCAAAUAAUCUAAAAAUACUAUCAGAGGGAGAACAUAGGCAUGGUUAGAGAUGGUUUAGCAAAGGAAACUCAAGUUUGAGUUUUCCCCCCAAAAUCCUAAAAUACUCUUUUUUUCCUUAUUCUUUUUUUUCUUCCAGAAUUAAUGAACGAUGGUGUGCAAGUCCUAUAUUUCACCACUUAUAUGUCACGCAGGUUCUAUUGUAACUUCUUUCAUUUAUUACUUUCGUUGUUCUUUUGCUUGAUCUAUUCUUUUUUCCAUGUCUAUUCUCUGUUCCGAUUUGUUUUGAUUUUGUGAUCGAUAUUAUCUCUACUGUUACUUCUUUCGGUUAUUGUAUCCCUUGGUGUUUGAUUAUGUUUCACAUUGAUAAACUUAAUAGUGUUUUUACUUUUUACUUGUUGAAGAGCUUACAUUUGUGUCUAUAGAGUUCUAUUGGAAGUAAAUUGUUUAUUUUUAUGUUUUCUUAUAUUUUUGUUUGUUUUUGUAUUCAACUUGGCUAUUGUAAUCACACCUCUGUUUCCGGUAGCUGAAUUAUUAUUGUCUAAAUUUGAUCAAAGGCAACCUAGCAAUUGAAUAAUCGAGCCUUGUCGGAAAGUGUCAUUGUCACCACUCAAUGGAUGAGAAACCAACAAAAAAGCCGGAUUAUUAGAAGAAUGAAUGUGAAAGAAUUGUUACCAAUCAUGGAAGUCAUGGGAGGUACAUAAAGUUCAACAAGAUCACAAAAGAAUAGCGUGAGAAGGAGAAAAAAGUUGUGCGAGAAAUCAGAGAGAAUUGAGGAAAAACUCAGUUGAUACCAUAUUUGAACCAUAUGAGACAAUUGAUUCCUGAAAUAAAAACAUUAAGGCUGCAUUUGAUACAAGAGGACUAGAAUGUUACAAGGUACAAACAGACACAAUAAUUCUUAUUGAUGUAAAGUAAAACAUUAACAAUAAAACAAACAUACAUAAUAACAUGAUCGUAAGUAGGAAGUGAGGGAAUGGAAUUCCUUCACAUCUGUUAUUCAAAGCAGCAACACAACAACCAUGAUCCACUUUAGAUGGAGAUACUAUUAGGAAUGCCUCGGCAAGUCAAUCCUUCCUCACUAGAAGGAUAAAGUAGAGUAUAUGGCAUCUUCACUGGUCCGUACCGAUUUCUCAAUGUCUCAUCAUUGUUCCUUUGAGUGAGUUUCUGUUCAAUUUCAGCCAACUUCUUUCCAAACCUCUUGAAGGCUUCUUUUGGUUGUGAAUCUGAAGUCCAAUUGUCACCUUCAAUUCUAUCUCCAAGGUAUUGCUCAUCAGAAGCAUGCCUUGACAAGACCUCUAUAAUGGUCAAGUCAGUAAGUGUAUCAUUCUUUGGUGUGAUUGUCCUCAAAUAAGACUUCUGGUAGUCCUUAGCAAGCUCAUCAUACUCAGGUGAUCCUUUCUCAGGCAUGAAUCUUCUACUCUUUGUUGGCCGGUUAAGGAUAUAUCCUCCAUAUGGAUAUUGUCCGAAAUUAACAGCUGCAUGAAGUGCUGAAGCAAUCCAUAUAAGGAUGGUGGAAGCUUCGAUCAACUCUUCACGGGUUUGCAUCUUAAACCACCAUGUGGCAUUCUUCAGGUCACCAUGACCAACCUCUACAAGUUCCUUCCAGAAUGCUUGGAGUUCAGCAUCUUGUGCAAUGGCAGCAUCAGACUUGUAAUAGAAAUUCACAUAUUCACCAACCCAUGACUUAAUGGCAGCCCAUAUUUCUAGUCCAUCAGAAGCAUAAGGAUAAUCCUCUAUCAGAAGGCGGAGACCGGUAGGAGAGGCUGGAUCCUCAACAGCUACUCCUCUAAAUAACAAGCAAGGAAGAAAUAUUAACAUACAAAAAAUAUGUUCUAUGGAGUUAUUAUUAAUUAAAGUGAUUUUAAUGAUCAUUUUACAACUGUUUUAGAGGAGAUUUAAGCCCGUAUAACAGAAAUUAUUAGUUAGAGUUUGUUGAUAAAAAAUUGACAGACCAAAGAUGUAAGGUUACCUUUUGAUUAGAUCGUUAGGUAGUCCUUGCUCAAUGAAAUUCCAAUCCUUGUAAACAACAGCAGACAUUUCCAAAGCAUAAUUUCCCCACAAGAAGGUUGAUUCUAUAAUACCCUCUGCAUUGACCAAGACAUUUCGUGCAAGUGCAUUUAUGUUCAUUGUGUCACGGUAGUGAGGAAGUAAAAGUUUAUGAAUAGGGUGAACCACACUAAGAUGCCUGUUUGUUGCUAUGAUGAAUGGCUCAACAACAGCGUGGGUGUUCAACCUGUCACACAUGUCGAUAUUCAUGAAUUAAUCAUAGAUAGGUUAAUUAUGUUUGAUUGUGUAUACGUGAUUAAUGAGAUUCAUACCAAUGGCUGACAAGUUGAUGAUAGCAGGAGUCAUUUACAACAACAAAAGCCUUGGCAAGGAGCCAAAUUGAAGCUUCAACACCUUCACUUGCGGGCAAGUAAACAUUGCUAACAGGACCAAAACUAUCACCUUGAGGGUGUGGCCUGCUUAGUUCAAUGGCCAGUGGCUUCAAAGUUCCAUCAUCUUGCAAGAAAAGUAUGGUUCUGGUAGCAUAGGCCUUUGUCUCGGUUGCAUUUAUUUUCCUCAAAUAUGGAAAGAGUGGGUCGUGGUGAUCAAGUAUGUACAAUCUAUUGUCUUGGAUAGCCUGUAUGACAAAAUAAAAUUUAGCUACUGUGGUUUACUUGAAUAAAAAAAAUUCAAUCAUGGAGAAAAAUAUUAAUCAAACUAAGUCCAUGAGGUGUCAACCCAGUGGUUAAAGUCGACCUUAUAACCUCAAGGGAUAGAUUUCAAAUUUUCUCCCGGACGAAAUUCACGAACGCCACUUUGGAAAAAAAUAGAACUGAUCAAAUAUGUCAUUACCUGUUCUACGGUGACCCCACCCAUGUUUGGCUCCAAGUUUUCUUUGGUUAUGGUGCUGGUAUUAUCACCAAAUUUUUGGCUAUCUAGCUUGCUCUUUGGUGGAAACUCCUGUAUUAAAUUUAGCAAGCAAUAAUGUCACCAAUUACAAAAAUAACAUAAUGUUUACAAAAUAGUCUUAGUUUUAUUUUUUUAAUUUCUUAACAAAGUUAAACUAUUAGCUUUACCGAAAGUUUUUUGAUGAUGUGUGGGUUCACCCCAGCAAUCAUCUCCCUUGCAAAUUCCUCAUCAGUCUGCCAUGCAGAAUGGUCCACUGUUCAUAUUAAGAAAUUUUCAAAAGAUCCAUUAGAUUUCUUUAUAUGAUUUUGUAUAAAUAUAUUACUGCAAGGACUAGGUAUUAUGAUUAAUAUAUACCUUGAAUCACUUUUGGUGGUGGAAACUUAAGUGCUUGUUCACCAUCAGAUCGGAAAAGUUCCUUGAACAAUGGUAUUGGACUAAUCUGGCUUAGUACAUCAGUAGGAAGCUUAAUUCCACCCUCGUAGAGAGAGCGCACAUCUUGAAAGGUGUUAAACUCAGGGUUAUUGAGUUGUAAUGUAACUACAGAUCUCAGUUGAGGUAUGACAUUUUGAGAUGCUGAUUUGAGUAUGUAAACAAGAAAGUCUGAUGACUUUGUGUGUCCAAAAGAUUCAUCUCUUGGAAGGUAAACAGUGGGACUUCGAGUCUCACUCUUAGGAUCUGUUCAAAUAUAUAAUAACAAUAUAUGUUUUAGAAACAAUACCAAAAUCUUUAGAAUCAUAAGCAGGGUAAACAUUUGGAUCAACCAAAAAAACACAUGUUUAGUCCAAAAUCUGACAGAAGUGUUUGUGGCCUAACCUGUUUUAGUUUUUCUUCUGCCAGUUCUUCCCCUUCGAGGGUAAGGGAAAUCGCUUGAUCCCCCAAGAAUUUGACGCGCCAAUUGAGGUUUCGAGUCAGGCUCACCCAAAUCAUUGUAGACAUCGUAAUCAUAUAUUCUUUCCCAUUCCUUGCGCUCUCCAGUUCCAUCUCCUCUUAAAGUCUUCAAUUCUUCUUGUCUGUAGUACACUAAUGGAGCCGGUGUUUCACUUGGAAGGUAUGUCUACAUAAAUUUAAUCAUUCAAAAUAUCAAGUUUUAGGAAAUAGGCUUAAUAUUCAGCAAGCUAUAUAGUUAUUAUGAUAAAGUGGAUUUGUGAUUUGAGACAUCAGAAAGAGAUUGGGAGUUGCAAGUUCUCAACUCCCUCUACUCGCAUUUCUAAAAACUAAUUACUAAUAUUUGUCGUUAUAAUAGAAAUAACAAGCUACAUGUGUAAUAGAAUUUUUAUUCUUACCUUGUUGGCAAAGAAGAUGCGGUCGGUUUUGUACUUUUUAGAAUUGUAAAUCCAUGAGUUGCAGACAAAGUGGAUGGAUCCAUGGUUUGGAACAUCUUCAAGUGUCAAACUCACAAGGAAGAAUUCACCUUGCAUAAAAUUAUCGAUGUAAAAAGCUCCGGGAAUUCCCAUGUUACUGUCCCAUUCAAAAUGAAUACUGAAAGCAUUUUGUUUGUCUCCCAAUGUUGGUAUGGAGGUAAGAAGACCUUCCAGAAAUGUUUCCUUUCCCACUUUUCCUUUUCCAGCAGCUAUAUUAAAAAUGUCAAAUAUUAUUAGUUUCUCAAUUUCACUAAUCCAUGAUUUUCAAAGUUUAAUUUUAUUCUUUUACAGAUCCAUUUUUCUUUUUACAUGAUCAUCAUCCAUCUUGCCUGAGUUAUAUCGAAGGGAAAUAAUUUCAAUAUUUUAGUGGUAAUUGAUUGUACCUGAUCAUUUAUAACCAAUAUUCUACAUCAAAAUCUCCAUUGCACAUUUUUAAUUUAAUAAAAAAAACAAAAGGGAAAAUAAGGUAAAUCUUAAUGGAUUGAUGUAUCAAAAACUCUUCUUGAAUAAUAGGCUGGCUUGGUGGUGUGGUGGAAGAGUUAUGGAGUAAUUAAUGCAGUCUGAGUUCAAUUCUUACAUCUAGCAAAAACUAACAACCGACAUAAUACUCAUUCGAUAUUAUUUAUAAGAAAUAAUGAAUUUUUUGAUUUAUUGAAUAAUUAAUGUAUAUGAUAUAUAUUCUAGAUCGAAUACAUAAAUUAUUCAAUGAAUCUAAAAAAUUAAUUAUUUCUUAUAAAUAGGAUUGGAUGAAGUAAUAUUUAUUGCUUAAAAAAAUAAAACUCCUCAAUAUUUUGUUGUUAAAUCAGAGAUAUCCUCCACGUGCAAAUGUCUGUCACUUAUGUUAUGUCACACAAUGUUGGUAAAAGAGUCUAAGUAAAGAGAUCAUAGAAGUAUGAAAAGAAGCAAUUUUAAAUAGAAAAAGAUAGUAGAAUUUACAAUUUUAAAAAUCUAAUAAGACAGAAGUUCAAAUAUAAAGUAUAUAGAUGGGGAUGUCAAAUUUUAAAUAGCUUAUGGUACAAGAUUAAUUUAAAAAAUUUAAGUGAGCAUGUGCACCCAUCACGUAGAUCCAUACAUACCAAAUGACAAAGAUAAAGUCCAAAACAGUUGCCAAACGCCAAAUAUCACACUUAUUUGCAUUAUAUAUACUUCUUUUUUUACAAAACCAUUAGAUAUACUCCCUUUAAUAUACAUUGGAUAUAAGUUUUUAUAUAGUCAUUUUUUAUUCCAAUAGUACUAUUUUUUCCAUAUCAUUUUAUUACUUAAUCAAAUGUCCAAAUUAUUUUAAAUAGUUACUUAAAUAAUUUCAUAAUUUCUUUAUUUUAAUUAAGAAGAGACAACGAUGAAAUUUUUGUCUGUCAAGUAAGGAUAUAGUUUUGCAGUUAAUAAAAGAAUAUAAACACAAUUUUUUUCUUUUCAUAAAUUUCAUCAAAGAAGGUAAUCAAUCUUAUUCAGAAUCCGUCGAUCAGACACUAAAUGUGAUACCUCUCUCAAUCAAGAUUCUAAAAUCAUUCUCGUCCGUUAGAUCCAAUUACUUCCAUUGGUGUACACAUAAUUUAAAUAAGUUAUAUCAAUCAAUUAAUUAAAAUGCCUAUUUCUUGUAUGAAUUAAACAUAGUGAGAAAGGUCCUCGUGAACUAGCUCAAUUGAUAGAGACAUAUAAUAUAAUAUAUGCAGGGGUUGAAGUCCGAACCCUAAACAUCCGACUUCUCCAUAUUUAAAAUGUGUGAGCUCCCGUCACUGGGUUAAUUGACAAAAAGAAAAAUAGAGUGAGAAAGAGAAAUGAGUUAUUACCAUCAGCACUUGUAGCACUAAUCAACCUGAGAGCUAUAGAACGUCCCAAGAAGGAAGUGGCAGUAUCAAGUAUAUUGCCAGCAACAUCACCAACAAUACCAAAGGCACCACCAAUGAUACCAGUAGGGCUUUUAGCAGCAGUGAGGGCGUUGAUAUCCAAAGUAUUCUUUUGCAUCAACACCACAGUUCCCUUCAACUUUUGGCCUCUAUCAAAGAGACCUGUUACACCAGAAAACAUCUUUGAAUAUGCUUUAAAUGUAUUACACUAUAUAUGGUAAAUGAAAGAAAGGCUUGUGUCUUGUAACCAUAGGGGUGGUUAGUAUUUAUAGUAGUUGAUGAGAUUAGGAUCACAAUGUUAUAGUUCAAAUGAGGUGAUAUUUUUAUUCAACUACUCAUUUACAACAUGGUGGAAUGCAAUUGGUCACGUCUUAUGCUAAUUUUUUAUUAUGAGUGAUUAUCUCGUGGUAUAUAAAAUAAUAAUAUAUCCGAUUGCAAAAUUAUUUUGGUAGUUGUUAUAUGUGCCAGCCUUGGCAUUAUGUUCAAUAAUAAUGACUCUGUUUGCUCUAUUGUUAAUUAUUACUACUAUCUUACGUGUCUGCAUUGGUUUUCUCGAGUUUUCUCAUAUUUUUUAAAGUGGGAAAAUCUCUACCCUUAAAAUUCAUUUCUUUCUUAUUUUAAUUUCAAAAUCUCUCCUCUUUUUUUUUUUUUUUUUUUUUUCUUUUUCUUUUUCUUUCUCUCAUACUAUCAAAUCAAGAUUAGGAUUGGACUUGAGAUACAUUUGCUUAGUCACAAACAUAAAAAUGAGUCAUUUAACACACACAAUGUAAUAAAAAAAAUUGAUUUGGUGUUGUGGUCUAAUUUAACACUUACUAUAUAAGUAUUUCUCCAUCCAAAGAUGGAUCCAAAAAUCUAUUAGCAAUUUUAGUUCACGGCCUAAUUUAUUCUCUUGUUUGGGAGUCUUUUGUAACAAUUUUUGUUUUUUUAUUUUGGGUUGACGGCAAGACCUUUGUCUUUUGAUGUAACUAUACUCUUUUUCCUUGUUCUUUUGGCACUUUCUGUGCUGGAAUAGCAGAUAUUUUUCAAAUAUAAGCAAUCAACGUUUGUUCUAGGGCGCUCUAUAUAUGGAUAAUGUUAUCAGCCACGUUUUUGACAUUUGCAUCAAUUUUUUUCUUUAUAAAUGAUGAAUAAGACAUGUAUUACUAAUGAUGGUUGAUAUUCCAGCUAUCAUGGAAUCCAAGUCGCCAUAGUACAAUGUUUUUAAAAUCCCAGCUAUGUUGGCAACCCAAAACAUCGUGUGUCAAAUGCGCCACAUCUUAUAUAUUAUUAAUAAUAAAAAAUACAAAAACGAAAAAAGUUGAGUUAAACUCAACAAAGCUAAUUAAAAUGAUAGGUAUGCAUACCAAACCUAUCUAAAAAAACCACUGAUAAUAAAACUAGGACAUAUAUACCACCAUUGAAAAUCUCCAAUUAGUUUACAAAUAUCAACGAAAAAACUUCUCCUUUUCCUCUUGUGACAUAGAUGAUCUCCAGUAGGUUUCUGCGUUUUUCCUCUUCAGUUUCGUGUUUUGCUGCUUGCGUUGGGGGUGUGAAAAUUAAACACUGAUGACUUGUGAAAAAAAGAAGCAUAAAGGGCUGCUGGACUAAAGUCUGAUAAUUGUUGGUCCCUCUAUUAUUUUUGUUAUAUACACCCCUCUAUAAACGAUUAUUGUUAUAUACACCCUCGUAUAAAAAAAUUAGGUCCCUAAAGGCAUGGGCCCUAGGCUGCCGCACCCCAUCCUAUAUCUAUGGCUGGCCCUGAAUGUUAUCGUUGUAAUAGAAGUGGUUUAAUAUAUAAAAUGAAAGACAUAAGGUAAAUAGGGUAAUGUUGCAUUAAAAAUGGAUGUUGGUAAGGCAUGUGGCAUUGAUAGGUCAUUUGAAAGAAAUUUUGAUGAAGAUGAGGUUAUGUCAGUAGUGAAUGAACUAGAUAAUGAUGUGUAUUAAAAUGGUGGAUUAUUCCAUUAUUGUUAACAAUGAAAUCACAUGACCAAUCAUACUCGGACGAGGCCUUCAUCGGAGAGAUUCUUUGUCUCAUUGUUUAUUCUGUGUGCAGAAGGCCUAUGUGCUCUUAUUAAGUAUGUCGAGGCUAGUGGAGAGCUUCAUGGGGUCAAAAUUUGUCGAAACACUUUGAUUAUUACUCGAAUUUUAUUUGCAGAUGACUACUUUCUAUUUUUCAGGGAAGGUGAAGCGCCGAGACUCAAAAUAUGAAGCAAAUUUUGAGGUUGUACAGAGCAACGUCUGGAUAUUACAGCUUAAAUGCCCAACAAUCCCUUCAAAAUGCUUUUACAACAACCUUAGGGGGGUCAGGCGGUGUUAUGCACAAUGAAGUACAUCGGACUACCCUCUAUGAUUGGUAGAAGAAGGAAUGUUACGUUCAGCUUUCUCAAAGAUAUGACUGGAGCAACAAGUAUUUGUGAAAGGAAGAUAUAAUGAUAAAAACAUGUACUGCAAGCAAUACCAUCUUAUGGAAUUAGAAUUUUCUUACUUUCUACCAUGUUCUUUGAUGCCAACGAAAAGAUUAUUAACACGUACGUACUGGUGGGGUCAUGGUGGUUCCACAAUUAGAGGUAUUGACUGGUUAUCAAGGGACAUGCUUGUUGUCUACAAAUUUUUUGGAGGUUUGGGGUUUAAAUACUUGACGUCAUUCAACUAAGCAAUGUUAGGAAAACAAGAUCGGAAAUUCCACACACACUUGGACUGUUUGGUAUCAAGACUGUUCAAGGCGCUCUAUUUUCCUCAUGGAAGCUAUCUAGACCGAAAGUGAUGACAGAGCACUAUAUGACAUUUUGGGCUAUGUUUUUAGUACUUUUAUUUGCAUUUGAAGACAUAUAAGUUGAGAGAUAGAGGAGUUGUUAAUGGUUUGGGAAACAUAUUGUAUUGUUUUCAAUCGAGCCGUUGUUCUUGAUGCUUGACAGUUUAAGGAACCUCUAGGGUAUGUUUUUUAAACAUCGUUGUUCCUUGAUUGAGGAACCUCUAGAUAUUUCAUGAAGUGUAAUUCCUUUAGAUGACAAUUUAAGAGUCACACGGGAUGUUGCAGUCAAAAGAUGUGAUCAUGGCUUUCAUAAUUGAGUUAUGGAUAAAACGACAUCUGUAGGAAUAUUCUCUCUAUAGUAAACCACCGUUUAUGUAAUUUUUAGGUUUUAAUUAAUAGGUACUUUGCAUUAAUCCAACAAAGAGGGAAGAGGGAAGAGGGGAUUCAAGGAUUCCCUAAUCACCGUUAUACAUCUAAAUCACACAAACAUAAUCUUUCUUUGGAUAGGGAAAUUUAACCAUGCAAAUCUUUUUUUCAUCUCUUUUCUAUUUUCUUUCUAAUAAGUUUUGCUAAUUACCGAAAAACUUGCUACUUUAUUAAUUGUUAUGAUUUGGUGCACUUGCCAAUUUCGUCCUUCAGAAAGCUUGGACAUAAAUCAAAGCUUUAGUUGGAGAAGAAUAUUUACCGCUAAGAGAGUAGUACAAAAAGUUGCUCGGUGGAAGAUCAGAUCGGGUACAAAGUUUCAAUUUUUUAUGCUUUGUGGGUAAAAGAUGGGACAAGUAUUCUAGGAGAUGGUCAACCUCUCAAGGUAAUUCAACAGGCUAAAGUGCACAAUCUCGUUGAUCAAGAAUUUCCCGUAUAGAACAAUCAUAUUGUAAACCAGUGUUUUGAUCAACUUAUAAAUGAGCUCAUUCUGAGUACUCCUUUAAUUGAGUCUGUUAAAGAAAGAUAAAUUAAUUUUUAAAUCAAAGAAAAAUGAACAUUACUCGGUAAAAAUUGUGUACAAGAUUUAUACAUAAAAUAGUGCAGGCAACUCAUAUUUAUGUCAGUAAGGUCAUUGGCUGGAAUUUAGAAGUUAAAGGUGCAUCCCAAAGUGAAGGAUUUCAUUUGGCUGAUUUAUCAAGGUUGCUUACCGACGCGUGUAAGGCUGAAAGAUCGAAGUCUCCAUUGUCUGUCUAUUUGUAUGAUGUGCACCGGUAACUAUGGGGAUGCAAUGCAUAUAUUGUUUGAUUCUCCGUAAAUAGGAUAUGUAUAUAUUUUUCUCAAGUGCAUUAAUUUUAUCAUUCAUAGCUCCAGCCCAGUUUAUAUUUUUAAAUGUUUCUUCAAUAGAUGAUUUGAUUCUCACAUAAUCAACGGCAACAAUAAAACUUUGAUUGUGUGGAAAGUUGUUUAGUGGAGACAUAUUGAGAAAUAUGUAUGAUAUCUAUAUAUAGAGGGACAGAUCGAUAACAUUUGCAAUCAUCUACAACAGGCCAUGUUACCCAAGAACAAUCAUCAAUAAAAGAAACAAACCACCUUGCCCCAUAAAUAUUAGAAACAACAAGAAAUAUUAGAAACAGGGGCCGAUCGGCAGACAUCAAAAUGAAUAAGAUCAAAUGGUUCAACACUUUUACGAAGAUUCAACGAAAAAAGUGGUAUGUGUACGCUUAUAAAAUGGAUAUAUAUAUCACAUUUAAAAGACUAAAUCGAUUGCAUUAAAAAACAAAGAUGGAAACAUAAACUUCAUUAGUUGAAAAUGAGGAUGACAAAGACGUUUGUGCUGAAGCCAAAUUUGAGAGGCAGAAUAAGACUCUGACUAAGACUGAAGUGCAGAAGACAACACCUUCUGAUCAAUUCGUGCAUCAUACAAAUAAUAUAGCCCUCCUUGUUCCUAAGCAACUCCAAUCGUCUUUCCCAUUACAAGAUCCUCGAAAGCACAAUGUGAAUCAAAAAAUAUUACUGCACAAAUAUUAUCCUUUAUAAGCUUACGAACAUAGAUAAGGUUAUUCCAAAGACAAGGAACAUGAAGCAUAUCUUUCAACUUAAAAGGUUCAAGGUUAAUUUCUCCACAACCAUCUACACGAGUAUGAGAACCAUAUGCAGCCGCAAAAAAGAAUGUCAUAUGAAGAAAUUUACUUCAAAAAGGCCAAGAACCAAUGUCAUAUGAUCAAUAGCACUAUAGUCAAUAAUAUAAUCAACAUUUCAAGCAAAAACCACAUAUAACUAUUUUCAGUCACAUUGGCUGAUAACUACAAAAGAAUCUCCUCAAAAGAACAACAAAAAGAAGAGGCUUCAAAUAACAAAAAAUAGGCAACAAGGUAAAAACCGUAAGUCGCAACAACGUAAAAUCACCAAAUAAAAGUCAAACUGAAUCACAAAGGGUCCUCAAAGAUGCUGGUAGUCACAAACAAGCACAAAACAACCGCUAUCAAUCAGUUAGUGUCAAGAGUACCCACGUAAAAUAGUAUCUUGGUCUUGGAUCAAGAUUUUGACCCCUUAAACGAACCAAUUAUGUGAAGACUAUAAUUUCUAGGAAUAAAUGGUGUCGAAUGGUGGUUCACAAGGUGGCAUGUGCAUCGCACUUGAUGGAGCUUCACUUUAGAUUGGGCCUCUGCUCUCAACUUCUCAAGUUCUUCUUCAAAAAGUAUUUGAGAACAAAUUUUUAUAGCCCUUUCGUUUAAAAAAUCUUUUUAGUUUUGCCAUAUUAGUUGAUGUAUGAUUCUUUAACUGUAUUUACAUUGGAAAAACAAUUGGCAGUGGAAAUAAAAUCAUUAUGAUCUAUUAUUGCUUUUUCAAUGUUAUCAUUUUUUUGUCAUGCUAUAUUGCAUAUUUGCAUUGAGAGCUUUUUUGUCAUGAAAUAAAAUAUGAAGUUUGCAUUUUAUAUACAAAGUAAAUCACACAACAAAAUAGAAACAUAGUAACUUUUAUUGAUGAAAUACAUUAUAACAAUCAAACAUGAUAGUUUUUAUUGAUAAAACACAUUACAGAAUUAAAAACAAACGUACAUAAUAACAUAACAUGACGAUAUACAUAGGGGGCGAGGGAAUUGGAUUCCUCCUCCUCUUUUAUUAAUAGCGACAACGCAACAACCACGACGUUUUUUAGAUAGAGACACUGUUGGGAAUGCCUCUGCAAGUCAAUCCUUCCUCACUAGAAGGAUAAAGCAGAGUGUAAGGCAUCUUCACUGGUCCGUUACGAUUCCUCAGUGUCUCAUCAUUGUUCCUUUGAAUGAGUUUUUGCUCAAUUUCAGCCAACUUCUUUCCAAACCUCUUAAAGGACUCUUUUGGCUGUGAAUCAGAAGUCCAGAGAUCACCUUCAAUUCUCUCUCCAAGGUAUUGCUCAUCAGAAGCAUGCCUUGACAAGACUUCUAUAAUGGUCAAGUCAGUAAGAGUAUCAUUCUUGGGUGUUAUUGUCCUCAGAUAAGACUUCUGGUAGUCCUUAGCAAGCUCAUCAUACUCAGGGGAUCCCUGCUCAGGCAUGAAUCUUCUACUUUUAGUUGGUCGGUUAACGAUAUAUCCUCCAUACGGAUAUUGUCCAAAAUUAACUGCUGCAUGAA